rnacentral:rRNA from 1 species
UACGAAGGGGGCUAGCGUUGCUCGGAAUUACUGGGCGUAAAGCGCACGUAGGCGGCUUUCUAAGUUGGGGGUGAAAUCCUGGAGCUCAACUCCAGAACUGCCUUCGAUACUGGAGAGCUUGAGUCCGGGAGAGGUGAGUGGAACUGCGAGUGUAGAGGUGAAAUUCGUAGAUAUUCGCAAGAACACCAGUGGCGAAGGCGGCUCACUGGCCCGGUACUGACGCUGAGGUGCGAAAGCGUGGGGAGCAAACAGG